AAAAAAAAAAGAAAAAGAAAACAUUAAUUACUUUCUUUUUCUCCUUCUUUUUUUUUCUUCUUCUUGUUUUUCUUUUUCAUCGUCUAAGAAAAGCAUUUUUAUUUAGAAGUCGAUAAACGCGUAGGACGCCGUCGAGGGAUCGAAGAGGGUACAUACGACGUAGUAUGAGAGCGAGGAUGAAACCUUGCGGGCUAAAAAAGAAGAGCCUUCCUUCUUUAUUUAAUACCUGAAACGUAAAAGAUUUAUGUGGAUCAAGCCUCGAGGUUGGAGCUGGAAAUUAAUAACGAAGUAUAUAGUCCAUUCCAGGAUCAUAAAAAAGAAAAAGAAAAGAGAAAGGGAAAGGGAAAAGAAAGAGUGAGAGGGGGAGGGAGAGAGAGGGAGAGAAAGAGAGAAUAAAAGAUUUGAAGACUUCCGGUUAGUCUCUGUUUUCUGGGUCUCUCGACGCAAAAAUCUCGACCUACCUUGAGUCAAGAGGAUCUACGUAGAAAACCAUUAAGAGACCAGGAAGAUGAAGCAUAAGAGGGAAAUACUCUUAAGAUAUUUAUAUGUGAGAGAGAGAGAGAGAGAGAGAGAGAGAGAGAGAGGGAGGGAGGGAGAGAAAGAGAGAGAGAGUGAAUUUUAGAAGAUUAUCAAAAAGAAAAGAAAGAAAAGAAAGAAAAGAAAUAAUAUCGCUAAACUUAAACUUUCUCUCUUUUUCUCGUGUAUGUCUUCUGACACAUUACAGAUCUACAAAAGAAAAAAAAACGAAAAAAAAAAAAAAGAAAAGAAAAAAAAGAAAUAAAAGAAAGAGAAAAAAGCAAAAGGAAACAUUUGUUAAUUUCAAAAAAGAAAUAUCUUCAAUUUAUUAUUACACAUUAAAACUUAGAGAAACGUAACAUUGUUGUUGAUUAAUGUUGAAGAAAAAUAAGAAGAAGAAGAAGAAGAAGAAGAAGAAGAAGAAUAAGAAGAAGAGGAAGAAUCAGGAUUGCUAAGCAAGCCAGCAGCGCAACGUAUCUCUCAAUCCGCCCCCGUCUCGUUCAUUUUCGUGCGCGCGUUGCCGAGCGCGACGAAUCGCCGCGGCACGACGGAGCUCUCGCGACGUUCGCCGAUAAACAAAACGUUCGUGCGACAGCGGCCAGGAAGUUGAAGAUAGGCGGACGGGGAGUUCAGUUAUAAGGAGUGAAAGAGAAAGAGAGAAACAGUCUCGUGUGAUACGUCGAACAUCGUGCCAAGUGGACAACCUAAUAAGGGUCCGUACGUUUAUCGAGAGUUAUCAAAUUCAUUAAAUUGUUUCGAGGAUUCGUUAAGAAGAAGAAAUUAAAAGAAGAGGAAAAAGAAGAAGAAGAAGAAGAAGAAAUCUAAAGUUUAUAGGAAGUUUAGUUCGUUAAUUAAAAGAAGAUCCAUUCGGAUUGAAGUCCGUAGGCUAGUCUCGACGUCUUUGAAGUGACGGAGCAUCGAUCGUACUACGGCCAUUUUGCACGGCACCCGACAUCUUCGUCGCCGCCAUCGACGUUCAGGAAUACACCUGGACCCGAAGAUCUUCAAUUCUUGAAGAAAUUUCGUUUUUAUCACAAUCAAUAGAUCCGUGUAUCUAUAAAGUGUUAUCGAAUAUCCAGGUGAUUCCUGAAAGCGUGUUGGGGAAAGAGAAGAGAGAGAGAGAGAGAAGG